rnacentral:misc_RNA from 1 species
GGCUCGUCUCGUACUCCAUCACCUCCUGGUAAAUCAGCUCUUUCCACUGGUCCACCGUGUGUUCCCUCUCGUCCACGCUAUGGUCAUAGGGGCCUGGUGCAGGCUGUAACAAACGUCCAACAAAACCAUUCGAUCAAUCGUCUUUCUCGUUCUCUCGAAAGAAAGAACCACUCGACAGACGCGACUCGAAUCGGUCGCCGAUCGAUACUCUCCUUCUUUCUCCCACCACAGUCACCAUUCACCCCGCCCCCUUUACAAACGUAAAAACGUGGUCGAGGGAUAAUACGGAAGUAGAAGAAGCAAAGCAUCGUCAACGGAGAUGCGUCGCUCGGGGUCGAUCACGAGCAUGCGCGACAAUAGAUCCCUGGCUUGGCUGGCUGAAACACGGAACGAGAAGAAAAAACGGGCAUGGAAGAAACGUAGCGAAGGAUGAACCUCCUCGAGCGGAAGCUUUUCCGAUCACUCACCUUUCAAUCGGUUGUGCUCCGACGAGUCCGAUGGAAACAGAACGUCCGGGAAUAACCUGUCGAACGGAUAUCCCGGAUACCGCGGCCUGUUCUCAACGUAAUUCCUGACCGUUGGCUGCAGCCGCUGC